rnacentral:rRNA from 1 species
CAGGAUGAACGCUAGCGACAGGCCUAACACAUGCAAGUCGAGGGGCAGCACAAGGAGCAAUCUGAGGUGGCGACCGGCGCACGGGUGAGUAACACGUAUGCAACCUGCCUGUAAGCGGGGAAUAACCCGUUGAAAGACGGACUAAUACCGCAUAAUACUAAAUUACUGCAUGGUAAUUUAUUUAAACAUUUAUGGCUUACAGAUGGGCAUGCGCAUGAUUAGCUAGUUGGAGAGGUAACGGCUCCCCAAGGCAACGAUCAUUAGGGGUUCUGAGAGGAAGGUCCCCCACACUGGUACUGAGACACGGACCAGACUCCUACGGGAGGCAGCAGUGAGGAAUAUUGGUCAAUGGACGAGAGUCUGAACCAGCCAAGUCGCGUGCAGGAAAAGAAUGUCCUAUGGAUUGUAAACUGCUUUUGCAGGGGAAUAAAGUGAGCCACGUGUGGUUUUUUGUAUGUACUCUGCGAAUAAGGAUCGGCUAACUCCGUGCCAGCCGCGGC